rnacentral:lncRNA from 1 species
UUUUUUUUUUUUUUUUUUUUUGAGACGGAGUCAUGCUCUGUCGCCCAGGCUGGAGUGCAGUGGCCGGAUCUCAGCUCACUGCAAGCUCCGCCUCCAGGGUUCACGCCAUUCUCCUGCCUCAGCCUCCCAAGUAGCUGGGACUACAGGCUCGCCCACCGCCCGGCUAGUUUUUUUGUAUUUUUUAGUAGAGACGGGGUUUCACCGUGUUAGCCAGGAUGGUCUCGAUCUCCUGACCUCGUGAUCCGCCCGUCUCGGCCUCCCAAAGUGCUGGGAUUACAGGCUUGAGCCACCGCGCCCGGCCGACUUUUUUUUUAGACAGUCUCCCUCUGUCACUCAGACUGGACUGCAGUGGUGUCAUCUCAGCUCACUGCAACCUCCGCCCCUCAGGUUCAAGCGAUUCUUGAUUCUCGUGCCUCAGCCUCCCGAGUAACUGGGAUCAGAUGACAGGCAUGAGCCACCAUGCUAAUUUUUGUAUUUUUUGUAGAGACAGGAUUCGCCAUGUUGGCCAGGAUGGUCUCAAACUCCUGGUCUCAAGUGAGCCACCCGCCUCGGCCUCUCAAAGUGCUGAGAUUACAGACGUGAGCCACCGUGGGCAGCCCAUUAUAAUUCUUUCUUUCUUCCUUUUUUUUUUUUUUUUAGAUGGAGUCUCACUCUUGUUGCCCAGGCUAGAGUGCAGUGGGGCACAAUCUCGACUCACUACAACCUCUGCCUCCCGGGUUCAAGAGUUUCUACUGCCUCAGCCUCUGGAGUAGCUGGGAGUACAGGUGCCCACCACCAUGCCCAGCUAGUUUUUGUACUUUGAGUAGAGAUGGGUUUUGCCAUGUUGGCCAGGAUGGUCUGACCUCAGGUGAUCUGCCCACCUUGGCCUCCCAAAGUGCUGGGAUUACAGGUGUGAGCCAUUGCGCCCGGCCAUAAUUAUUUCUUUAUAGCCAAUAUGCAUUUAUUUUUACCCAUAUUUUUACCAUUUUUGUCUUCAUUCUUUCUAUUUGGGAUAAUUUCCCUUGUGCCUGAAGAACCGUUAUAAUAUUUCCUUUAGUGUAAAUUGCUGGUGGCAAAUUUUCUUAGUUUUGAAUGUCCCAAAAUAUUUUGCAUUUAAUUUCACUCUUGAAGUAUACUUUAGCUGAAUUGAAAAUUUUAGGUUUCCUGAAUUUUUUUUUUUUUUGAGAUGGAGUCUUGCUCUGUCGCCCAGGCUGGAGUGCAGUGGUGCGAUCUUGGCUCACUGCAACCUCCGCUUCCCGGGUUCAAGUGAUUCUUCUCCUGCCUCAGCCUCCUGAGUAGCCAGGAUUACAGGCACGGGCCACCAUGCCCAGCUAAUUCUUGUAUUUUUAGUAGAGACAGGGUUUUACCAUGUUGGGCAGGCUGGUCUCGAACUCCUGACCUCGUGAUCUGCCUGCCUUGCCCUCCCAAACUGCUGGGAUUACAGGCGUGAGCCACUGCGCCCGGCCUGAAUUUUUAAAAAUUAAAAAAUAUCAUUCACUU